GGCUCCCUGUAAUUUUAUAAAUAAGGAGUCGGACCUGCCCAGUGAAUUUUUCAACGGCCGCGGUACUCUGACCGUGCAAAGGUAGCAUAAUCAUUUGCCUUAUAAUUGAAGGCUUGUAUGAAUGGUUUGACAAGAAUGUGGCUGUCUCUUUAUAAUUAUAUAAAAUUUUAUUUGCAGGUGAAGAAGCCUGUAUUGCAUUGAAAGACAAGAAGACCCUAUCGAGCUUUAAAAAAGUUAGUAAAUUUUAAAUAUCUUUUGGUACUUAAUACUAUGUAAAAAAUCAGUUAUUAGAAAUUUUGGUUGGGGCGACUGAGGAACAAAUAAAGCUUCCUUUAAUUUUAAAAACAGUCAGGUAGUUGAUCCAAAAAUUUUGAUUAAAGAAAUUAGUUACCGUAGGGAUAACAGCAUUAUCUUUUUUAAGAGUUCUAAUCGAAAAAAAGGUUUGUGACCUCGAUGUUGGACCAGAAUAUCCUGAAGAUGUAGCUGUCUUCAAGGGUUGGUCUGUUCGACCAUUAAAAUUCU
rnacentral:rRNA from 1 species